rnacentral:rRNA from 1 species
UUCGUCCUACGGGGGGCAGCAGUGGGGAAUAUUGCACAAUGGGCGAAAGCCUGAUGCAGCAACGCCGCGUGAAGGAAGAAGGCCUUCGGGUCGUAAACUUCUGUCCUUGGGGAAGAAGAACUGACGGUACCCAAGGAGGAAGCCCCGGCUAACUACGUGCCAGCAGCCGCGGUAAUACGUCGGGGGCAAGCGUUAUCCGGAAUUAUUGGGCGUAAAGAGUACGUAGGUGGCAACCUAAGCGCAGGGUUUAAGGCAAUGGCUCAACCAUUGUGCGCCCUCCGCACUGGGCUGCUUGAGCGCAGGAG